GCGGAUAUGGUCGAAUGGUAAAAUUUC
rnacentral:tRNA from 1 species